UACAGAGGUCCCAAGCGUUGUCCGGAGUUACUGGGCGUAAAGGGCGUGCAGGCGGUGCAGUAAGUUUGGAGUGACAGUACCCGGCUCAACUGGGUAAGGCCUUCGAAAACUGCUGGACUUGAGGGCCAGAGAGGGACAUAGAAUUCCGGGUGGAGUGGUGAAAUGCGUAGAUAUCCGGAGGAAUACCAAAGGCGAAGGCAGUGUCCUGGCUGGCAUCUGACGCUGAGGCGCGAAAGCUAGGGGAGCGAACAGG
rnacentral:rRNA from 1 species